rnacentral:rRNA from 1 species
UACAGAGGUCUCAAGCGUUGUUCGGAUUCAUUGGGCGUAAAGGGUGCGUAGGCGGCGCGGUAAGUCGGGUGUGAAAUCUCGGAGCUUAACUCCGAAACUGCAUUCGAUACUGCCGUGCUUGAGGACUGGAGAGGAGACUGGAAUUCAUGGUGUAGCAGUGAAAUGCGUAGAUAUCGUAAGGAAGACCAGUGGCGAAGGCGGGUCUCUGGACAGUUCCUGACGCUGAGGCACGAAGGUCAGGGGAGCAAACGGG